UACAGAGGGUGCGAGCGUUGUCCGGAAUUACUGGGCGUAAAGGGCGCGUAGGCGGCCUUCUAAGUCAGACGUGAAAUCCCCCGGCUUAACCUGGGAACUGCGUCUGAUACUGGGAGGCUUGAGUAUGGGAGAGGGAUGUAGAAUUCCAGGUGUAGCGGUGAAAUGCGUAGAUAUCUGGAGGAAUACCGGUGGCGAAGGCGGCAUCC
rnacentral:rRNA from 1 species